rnacentral:rRNA from 1 species
UACAGAGGGUGCGAGCGUUAAUCGGAAUUACUGGGCGUAAAGCGCAUGUAGGUGGUUUGCCAAGUCUGAUGUGAAAGCCCUGGGCUUAACCUGGGAACGGCGUUGGAAACUGGUAGACUCGAGUCGGACAGAGGGCAGUGGAAUUUCCGGUGUAGCGGUGAAAUGCGUAGAGAUCGGAAAGAACACCAGUGGCGAAGGCGGCUCACUGGCCCGGUACUGACGCUGAGAUACGAAAGCGUGGGGAGCAAACAGG